UGAGGUAGUAGAUUGAAUAGUUGUGGGGUUGUGUGACCUCUAUGUGAGAUAACUAUACAAUCUACUGUCUUUC
rnacentral:pre_miRNA from 1 species